rnacentral:rRNA from 1 species
GAUGAACGCUAGCUACAGGCUUAACACAUGCAAGUCGAGGGACCGGCGCACGGGUGAGUAACACGUAUCCAACCUGCCCUUUACUCGGGGAUAGCCUUUCGAAAGAAAGAUUAAUACCUGAUGUAAAGGAUGGGGAUGCGUUCAAUUAGGUUGUGGGUAAGGUCACGGCUCACCAAGCCUUCGAUGGAUGGGGGUUCGGAGAGGAAGGUACCCCACAUUGGAACCGAGACCCGGUCCAAACUCCUACGGGAGGGAGCAGUGAGGUAGAUUGGUCAAUGGGCGUUAGCCUGAACCAGCCACGUAUCGUGAAGGAUGCAUGCUUAUGGGUCGUAAACUUCUUUUAUAUAAGAAUAUGUAUUAUAUGAAUAAGGAUCGGCUAACUCCGUGCCAGCAGCCGCGGUAAUUC